rnacentral:tmRNA from 1 species
GGGGGCGUAAAGGUUUCGACGGGGAUUUUGAGAACAGGUAAGCGGGUAGAGAAUGGUAUUUAUCUCUUUAAAAUAUACCGAUUUAAAAUUAAACGCUAACGAUAAUUUAGCUAUCGCUGCCUAAGUGCGGCGCGUCCUGCCGAUGAGUACCACGGCUUCGGUCCGGGCGUCACUGAGUGGUGAACGUGAACUGCAAGUUAGCCUUUCUGACAGUCACGCAUAAAAAGGCUGUCCGAUUUUGUCUUUUGCCGAUUCAGACAUCUUCAGGAUAUAAAAUAAAACCGGCUUCACCCGAAGAAAGCCUGUAGGAUAGAUUUUCGGACAGGGGUUCGACUCCCCUCGCCUCCACCA